rnacentral:lncRNA from 1 species
GAGGACAGAGAGGGAGGAGAACACGACAGAAGAAGAAAACGGUUGCAGAAGAAAAAUUGCAGGAGCACAAAUACAAGAGGAGACAUUUUCACAGGUAUAUGUAUCCUGUCAAUUAAUUCUUGUUGGGCGGCACCCCUCAAAUAAAACUCUUGGAUGAUAAAUCCAUAAUGGGUGGCAACCCUUAAAUCAUGAACAACAAAUCCAUGAGAGGAUUCCUGUUUAACAAAGCUCUGCCGAGCAAAAGGAAAUCCUUUGAAAUGGAUACAAAAUAUUGGAUACAAAAUCCAUCAUGGGUGUGUAACCCUCAAUCAAAUACCCUGAAUGGUAUAUCCAUUUUUGGGCAUAAAACUCAUUCAGUGAGUUCUCAAGAGCACAAAUCCAAUUUCGGUACAAAACCCACAAACAUAAUCAUGGAGG